rnacentral:rRNA from 1 species
AACACCUGGAAACAGAUGCUAAUACCGGAUAACAACACUAGACGCAUGUCUAGAGUUUGAAAGAUGGUUCUGCUAUCACUCUUGGAUGGACCUGCGGUGCAUUAGCUAGUUGGUAAGGUAACGGCUUACCAAGGCAAUGAUGCAUAGCCGAGUUGAGAGACUGAUCGGCCACAUUGGGACUGAGACACGGCCCAAACUCCUACGGGAGGCAGCAGUAGGGAAUCUUCCACAAUGGACGAAAGUCUGAUGGAGCAACGCCGCGUGAGUGAAGAAGGGUUUCGGCUCGUAAAGCUCUGUUGGUAGUGAAGAAAGAUAGAGGUAGUAACUGGCCUUUAUUUGACGGUAAUUACUUAGAAAGUCACGGCUAACUACGUGCCAGCAGCCGCGGUAAUACGUAGGUGGCAAGCGUUGUCCGGAUUUAUUGGGCGUAAAGCGAGUGCAGGCGGUUCAAUAAGUCUGAUGUGAAAGCCUUCGGCUCAACCGGAGAAUUGCAUCAGAAACUGUUGAACUUGAGUGCAGAAGAGGAGAGUGGAACUCCAUGUGUAGCGGUGGAAUGCGUAGAUAUAUGGAAGAACACCAGUGGCGAAGGCGGCUCUCUGGUCUGCAACUGACGCUGAGGCUCGAAAGCAUGGGUAGCGAACAGGAUUAGAUACCCUGGUAGUCCAUGCCGUAAACG